UCCAAGCUAGCAUUAGCAGCGCAAAAAUAAUGGCGUACUAUAUUGAAUCAAUCCAGCCGAAUAGUUUUAAGCCACAGGCCAGCUCGAAUGAGGAAAAUGAAUGUGUACAAGGAGGUGGAGUAGCAGAGUGAUAAGAGAAACUUUAGGACACUAAGUCAGUUGUUGUGUCAUUAGCCCCAGAUUUUUCUAGCAUCUGGUUUUCUGAUCCAAUGCAAUUUGAAUUAAGAAGAGCAUAUUACAAAUACAAAAAAGGACUAUUUUCAUUUCACUUUACAAAAGUGUGUAUGAACGCAAGUGUUUUGAACAUUUAAGAGUGAAAUUGGCUUUUAAGUGUGUUUACAUAGACUUUUCUUUCGAAUUGGCCGCUUGAACGCACAUUGUCAAAGGAAUUGUGAGCGUGGCUUCAUGAAUAAAUCAGCACCUAUUUAUUCUGUUCAAAUCCUCAACUGGUUUCAAAGUUUAUAACAGGGCACCAAGAUCUAUCGGAUUCACACUCUCUGUAAACCAUCAAUCAAGUGCAGCCACUAUCUUAAAGGGCCUAUAUCAUACAAAAUCAAAUUCUUUUUUUUAGAUUUUAAGUGUGUUGUGAUGUUAAUUCCUCAAAAAAAGUUAUAUUUUACUCCAUUUACACAUCUCUGAGCAUUCCUCUAAAACCCUCCUCUCUGAGCACCAGCCCCUUCCAAUUCACAAAAACGACUGGGUCUGUACUGCCAGCUCCGCCCCCAGGCUAACACACACCCCCAUUUUCUCUGCAGAGCUUGCAGUGAUCGGUAAAAGUGGUUCCUCUUGCACCUAAUCUGCAAAAACAACAGUUCGCUGUUGAGAAGGCUCAUGAAAUGGGCGGCACCCACAAGGAGAAAAAGGCGGAGCCUCAGAAAUCGAGUCGUCUUACUAUCAGUGGAGACCAGGAUAGAGAUUACAACUACAGCUGCCAGCCAUGUGGAUUGUUAGGGCUCUAUAUGACCUAAUGGAGGUGCGUGUGUGAGUACUUGUGCAAUUUGGGCUCCGGGCUUUGUGGUGUUUACAAAAUGGGUCACACCACCUUUGCCUUACAAUGUUGCUUUGUUUAUAUAUAUAUGUGUGAACAUAAAUUCACAAAGCAACUGUUGUAUUCAUGAAAAUACUUCAUAUCCAACUGUUUUUAUGCCAAAAUGGCAAUUAAUUUUACAUACACCCUUUAAUUUAACUUUAGACAUAAUAGAUUUAAAAAAAUAGAGUAAAAGCUGAGGUAACACUUCCAUUAACAUAGAAACUAGAGGACUAGAUCCGUUGCAGCUUCUUUUUUUUUUUUUUUUUUUUUUGAAGUAGGCAUUCCAGUCAUAUAUUUCUGGAUUAUAAUGACACUGGACAUCCAUUAUGCAGCACAACAAACCCCAAAUGUAUUUUUUUCUCAAAAGAUUAUGUAAAAUUUUCACAUCAGGAGUGACUCUUGUUUGGUCUUGUUUGGUAUAUAUAUUUUUUUGCAUUUAGAGAGCUACAUUUUUGUAUUCUGUUAAACCACCUCCACUCCGGUUGCCUGCCACUCAUGUGCAGCCAAUUGUCCACCUGCAACAUCUCACAUGUCUCAAUUACCUCACUACCCCAAUGUGCUGGGACAAAACCUCCAGCUUUAAAAACAUCUCUACAAACGCACUAAUAGUGACUUUCAGCGGAAGAGAUUGUGAAAUUCAAGGGAGCAGUAUUUUGGGAGUUUGGCUGCUGAGAUGAGUGAAUAUGUCCUACUUCUCUGGCUGCCUUCAAAAUUGUAUUUAUUCCGUUUUUGCACACUGUUGUUUCAGUUUGCUUAUCUAUCAUUGCUCUUUUCUUGUAAAAUUUGCACAUUUCUUUUGGUCUGUUACUAUGUAAGCUGGAGAUUGAUCUAUCCCUCUUGUUGGUUCUGGACAGAAUUCUGCACACCGAUGCAGUUGCAUGCAGCCAUAACAGAUAAAUCUCUCUGCCUGGCUGGCCGUGUUUGAUCUACAGGCUCUGUGGUCACACAGUGUUUCUCUACAUAUCAUAGAAGCUCAGCUGGACCUUUAGAAACUUGAAUUACACAUUUCUAAAAAAAAAAAAAAAAAA